rnacentral:rRNA from 1 species
CCUACGGGGGGCUGCAGUGAGGAAUCUUGCGCAAUGGGGGCAACCCUGACGCAGCGACACAGCGUGGAGGAUGAAGGUCUUCGGAUUGUAAACUCCUUUUAUAUGGGAAGAAUAAAUGACUGUACCAUAUGAAUAAGUACCUGCUAACUACGUGCCAGAAGCAUCGGUGAUGCGUAGGGUACAAACGUUAUCCGGAUUUACUGGGCGUAUAGAGAUGCGUAGGCGGUUUGAUAAGUCUUGAGUUAAAGACCUCGGCUCAACCGAGGGAAAGCUUUCGAAACUAUCAGACUUGAGACAUAGAUGGGUGAACGGAAUUCCGAGUGGAGUGGUGAAAUACGUUGAUAUUCGGAGGAACAUCAGUAGCGAAGGCGGUUCACUGGCUAUUGUCUGACGCUAAGGCUCGAAAGCGUGGGUAGCAAACCGGCUUAGAUACCCGUGUAGUC